rnacentral:rRNA from 1 species
GACGAACGCUGGCGGCGUGCUUAACACAUGCAAGUCGAACGAUGAAGCCGGAGCUUGCUCUGGUGAAUUAGUGGCGAACGGGUGAGUAACACGUGAGUAACCUGCCCUUGACUCUGGGAUAACUGCGGGAAACUGUAGCUAAUACCGGAUACGACCCUCGGAGGCAUCUCCUGGGGGUGGAAAGAAUUUCGGUCAAGGAUGGACUCGCGGCCUAUCAGCUAGUUGGUGAGGUAAAGGCUCACCAAGGCGACGACGGGUAGCCAGCCUGAGAGGGUGACCGGCCACACUGGGACUGAGACACGGCCCAGACUCCUACGGGAGGCAGCAGUGGGGAAUAUUGCACAAUGGGCGCAAGCCUGAUGCAGCAGCGCCGCGUGAGGGAUGACGGCCUUCGGGUUGUAAACCUCUUUUAGUAGGGAAGAAGCGAAAGUGACGGUACCUGCAGAAAAAGCACCGGCUAACUACGUGCCAGCCGCCGCCGUAA